UAACACAACUACCCCACUACCUGAGAUAUCUACGUAACUUAACCAUCUUAAACUUAAUUAUGACUUAAUUUGAUUACAAAUAAUAUCAAUAGACAGUUAAUAGCAAAUACCUAUAUUAUAUACAAGAGUCAAUUUUUACUAACGAAAGCACAUAUUCUUAUAACUACGAUAUAUUUCCGGGUGAGGGGGAGGAGUAUGAAUUUCAAAAACAUAUCUCAAUAUGACUUAUUUCUUUAGGUACCUUUAAUUUAUCUAGAUGAUUUAGUUAAUAAAUAAUUAAACUUAGAUCAUACAAUAUGAUCUAAUUAUAUGAUGCAAGCAAUACAAAUUAUGCAACUUAAUGUACCUAAUGUAUUACGAAGAAUUUGUAAACAAAAUUUCAAUAUAUUUUGGAGAAGAGU